rnacentral:rRNA from 1 species
AGGAUGAACGCUGGCGGCGUGCCUAAUACAUGCAAGUCGAGCGGUAAGGCCCCUUCGGGGGUACACGAGCGGCGGACGGCUGAGUAACACGUAGGAACAUACCCCAGAGUGAGGGAUAAGCACCGGAAACGGUGUCUAAUACCGCAUAACCUCUUCGGAGAAAAGCUUCGGCGCUUUGGGAAUGGCCUGCGCAUGAUUAGCUUGUUGGUGAGGUAAAAGCUCACCAAGGCGACGAUCAUUAGCUGGUCUGAGAGGAUGAUCAGCCAGACUGGGACUGAGAACGGCCCAGACUCCUACGGGAGGCAGCAGUAGGGAAUUUUCCACAAUGGGGGCAACCCUGAUGGAGCAACGCCGCGUGCAGGACGAAGGCUUUCGGGUCGUAAACUGCUUUUAUCUGUGACGAAUAUGACGGUAGCAGAUGAAUAAGGAUCGGCUAACUCCGUGCCAGCAGCCGC